rnacentral:rRNA from 1 species
UACGUAGGGGGCUAGCGUUGUCCGGAUUUAUUGGGCGUAAAGAGCGUGUAGGCGGCCAAGCAGGUCCGUUGUGAAAACUGGAGGCUUAACCUCCAGACGUCGACGGAAACCGCGUGGCUAGAGUCCGGAAGAGGAGAGUGGAAUUCCUGGUGUAGCGGUGAAAUGCGCAGAUAUCAGGAAGAACACCAAUGGCGAAGGCAGCUCUCUGGGACGGUACUGACGCUGAGACGCGAAAGCGUGGGGAGCGAACAGG